rnacentral:lncRNA from 1 species
CUUCACAGAGGAAGACUCUGAAAGGCAAGGUUGGCAAACCUAAAAGAACAUCAUCAUGCUUUCAAACCAACAUAAGUGUGACACGUGUUGCCAGAGAGAGAACCUAAAAUCUACCACUGAUACUGACAAAC